UUUUGAUGUGUAAACUUGCUCAGGGUGUGACCUGACGCAAACUUUAUUAAUGUUCUUAUUACUAUCUAGCAACAUAUAACAUUAUAUCUGACAACAUUACAAGUUUUGGCAACAUAAGAUUACAUAAAUAUCGAUAACAAUGUGAUUAAGCUCAGGUUAGCCCGCUCGGCCGAGUGGCUGCUGGUCCGGCCACCGAGGAUGCGUUGCCUGUGGAUUGGCUCGAUCAACCGAGUGGCUGCUGGUCCGGCCACCCGGGAUGCGUAUGGGUCUGGAGGAUGUUUUGACUUUUGAUGUGCGGAGAAUUUGGUUUGCUGCCGAUUUGGUAAGUGUUUUGAAUUGUAUUUUGGCUGAAUUUAAUUUUAUUUUAUUUGCAGGUUUAUAUUUUAUAGGUUUGGUGGUAAAUUGUCGGCAUUCAAGUUAAGUAAUUUUUUGUUUUUAUAUUUGUUGGCUUUUAUUGAAUAUAAUUAUUUUAUUUUCAAGUUGAUUCCCUGGGUGUUGUGUUGGGAUGUCUUCUGGUUGCUUGCUUAGUUGCUGACGUUUUAAAUUUUGUUUUAUUUUCUGGUUUGCUGCAGAUUUGGUUUAUAUUUUGUAGGUUUGGUGGUAAAUUGUCGGCAUUUAAGUUAAGUACUUUUAGUUUUUAUAUUUUUUGGCUUUUAUUGAAUAUAUUUUUUUUUUUAUUUUCAAGUUGAUUCCCUGGAUGUUGUGUUGGGAUGUCUUCUGGUUGCUUGCUUAGUUGCUGACGUUUUAAAUUU